AUUGAACGCUGGCGGAAUGCUUUACACAUGCAAGUCGAACGGCAGCACGGACUUCGGUCUGGUGGCGAGUGGCGAACGGGUGAGUAAUGUAUCGGAACGUGCCCAGUCGUGGGGGAUAACGUAGUGAAAAUUACGCUAAUACCGCAUACGAUCUAUGGAUGAAAGCGGGGGAUCGCAAGACCUCGCGCGAUUGGAGCGGCCGAUAUCAGAUUAGGUAGUUGGGGGGGUAAAGGCCCACCAAGGCAACGAUCUGUAGCUGGUCUGAGAGGACGACCAGACACACUGGAACUGAGACACGGUCCAGACUCCUACGGGAGGCAGCAGUGGGGAAUUUUGGACAAUGGGCGAAAGCCUGAUCCAGCCAUUCCGCGUGCAGGAUGAAGGCCCUCGGGUUGUAAACUGCUUUUGUACAGAACGAAAAGGUUUCUACUAAUACUAGGAGCUCAUGACGGUACUGUAAGAAUAAGCACCGGCUAACUGCGUGCCAGCCGCCGCAGUAA
rnacentral:rRNA from 1 species